UUUGGCCUGGUAGAGAGAGAAGAGAAGAAUAAUGUUCGAUUAAAAAUUGCAGUUUAAUACAGUUAGAUUUGCUAUAUAUAGAUAUGUGUGUCUAUAUUUGGUUUGUUAGACAAGUUAAAUGAAAGUGGUAAAGACUUUAAAUGGAAAAUAAUAAGGAUAAAGUGAAAGGAAGUGAGAUUUGGAGACAACGUGAUCAGUGAACUACAUAAGUGCUGAGUAAAAUUAUUUAAUUGUUUUUUGAAAAUUUAUUUAUCAGUUAUGGUUUCGUAGUGUAAAAUAAUGAAAUUAGUGUUGUUCUGUUGCUAUGCUGUGUUAUUUAAAAUAUUCUUACGUCAAUAUAUUUUAUACAUUUUUUUUUUAAUUUCGCACUUUUCUAACCUCAGCAAACGUAUUAGAAAUAGAGUUUAAUGUGUUUAUUCUAAGGUGUUACUAACCAAAGGUUAAUGAGGUUAAUUUCAAUGUGUUUAUAUGUGAAAAAUAAAACAAAUAUCUGACCAUUUAAGUACAACAUUAAAAAAUUAGUUGAUGCUAGGAAAAUUUUAUAAUAAUGGAAAUUUACAACUUUUUGAAAAAGUGUCUACUAUUGCUCAUUGUCUAAAGUCCACUGUAAAACAUUUUAAACAUUUAUUAAAUUCUUUUAAGGAAGAAAAUUUAUGAACAAAUUAACAGAAUUUAACUUGUAAAAUUUUUGUAUAAGAUGUUCCAUUCCCCGACCAUGAAGAAAUUCGAAUAGCAAUUAUAAACCGCUGGAUUGCCGGCCACGCUAUUCAACUACGGCGGCGAAGAAUUGAUAAGGUGCAUGCAUCAGCUUCUUUGCAGAAUAUGGUAUGGAAUCUCAGUGUGCUCUGCCCAAUCCAUAAGAAGGGGAGACCCCACAAUCUGCGCCAAUUACCGUGGUAUAAGUCUCCUCAAUAUCGCAUAUAAGGUCCUGUCGAGCAUAUUGUGUGAAAGACUACAGCGCGCCGUCAAUGAACUGAUUGAACUUUAUCAAUGUGGCUUUAGACCCGGAAAAUUCACCAUGGAUCAUAUAUUCACCAUGCGCCAAAUUUAGCAAAGGCCCGAGAGAGAAGAAUCGAUACAUACCACCCUUUUAUCGAUUUUAAAGCGAUAGUAAGAAAAGGAGAUGCUCCUAUGCUGAGAUGUCUAAAUUUGGUAUCCCCUCAAAACUACUACGGCUAUGUAAACUGACUUUGAGCAACAACAAAAGCUCCGUCAGGAUCGGGAAGGACCUCUCCGAGCCGUUCGAUAUCAAAAGAGGUUUCAGACAGGGAGACUCACUAUAGUGUGAAUUUUUCAAUAUAUAGCUGAAAAAAAUGAUACCAGCUGCAGAGCUAAAUAGAGAAGGUACAAUCUUCUAUAAGAGAGUACAGCUGCUGGCGUACGCCGAUGAUAUUAAUAUCAUUGAAAACAGCAACCCCGCUGUUAGUUCUGCUUCUUCCAGGCUGGGUAAGGAUGCGAAUCAUAUGGGAGUGGAGGUGAAUGAGGACGAGACGAAAUAUCUCCUG